AAGAGUUCAAAUACCAAUGUUAAUUAGAAAAAAAUGAUCUAGAGGAUACAAAAACCGAUUUGUUACAUGUAACAAAGCAUGAAAGGUUUUUAUGGAAAAAAGUAGCCUGCACAAAGAAUUCAGGACAGCAUGUUUUGUUUUUCUUCCUCCCGUAAGCUUCCAAAGCAGUAUGGGGCUGUGCUCUUAGAUGUGACUUAGUUACUGUAGAAAAUAAGAAAUAAAUCUGCCUUGAAUAUACUUUUCCAAAUUUUCUUUCUUUAAUUUCGGAAGUAUUCAAAUAAAAAGUGCCUUGUAGAGAGACAGUGCGCACUGUCCCUUGUGUUCCUACAUCCAUUCAAUGCCUUGAAAUUGGAAGUCUGCAGAGCAGUAGUUUCAUGUAUAAUAAAUACAAAAUUCUCUAACACAGGCUGUCUACACAAUGCUGACAGAACAUGAAUGUGAAAUAACACUCAAGAGAUCACUCAGAAAUCAAUAAACUCAAUCAGCUAGGAUCUUAACACUGUCUACAACAAUAAUACAGGGAAAGUGAUGAACACUGCAAGGGUAUGUGGUGAUUUUAAAAUGAAACCAGAAAAAAAUUCUCCCAAAAUGUUUUCUUCAGGCGGGGUGGUGGUGGUGUGAAAAACAAAAGAAGCCAAAACCAACCUGUCCAGGUUUCUGUUGGGAUACAGUUAAUUUUCUUCUUAGUAGCUGAUAUGGUGCUGUGUUUUGGACUUAGUGUGAGAAUAAUGUUGAUAACACAUUGUUUUAGUUGUUGCUAAGUAGUGCUUACUCUAAAUCAAGGACUUUUCAAGUUCCCCGUGCUCUGCCAGUGGGCAGGUGCACGAGAAGCCAGGCAGGAGCAGAGCCAGUACAGCUGACCCCAACUAGCCAAAGGGACAUUACACACCACAGAAUGUCAUGCUAAGUACACAAAUCUGGGGGAAGAAGAAGAAAAGGGGGCUGGGUGUGUGGGGAUGUCAUUCAGAGUUACAGCGUUCGUCUUCCCGAGUCACCGUGACACAUGCUGCAGCCCUGCAGCCCCAGGGAUGGAUCCUACACUGAUGGCUCACAACCCACUUUCACAAGAAAUGAGAUCUGUGAGCGGUCAGCACCUCUGAGGGCUCGGGUGAGUCCUUAACCCUGUUGCCUUCAUCAGGUCUCAGGCUCCAUCCUGCUCCUGAGGGAGGUAGAUGGAGGCACACUCUACAAUACAAAGAUGGACAGCUAAAUGAAGCAAGUACUCCUAGAAAACUUCCAACAAGGGACUGCCUUGCUGGAUUAUGAAGAUGAAUAUUCAGAUGAGAGAAGAGAGACACCAAAUCCAGAGACCCUGAUGUGAAUACUUUCAAAUGCCAAGAGAAGUUCUUUUCUGCAGCCUGGCGUCCAGCACUCACAUGCAGUUGGAGGCUGAUCCAUGGCUGGAUGGGUGCUCGUUAUUCAGCUCACACAGGGAAGCAACAGUUCCAAAGAGGUACUCAGAACAUGGAGUAACAGUGAAAAAGCUAAAGCACUUCCAAGGUGUAUGGAGAGGAAGAAAUCAGAAUUUCAAAGAAGCUUAACAGCAAGACUGAAAUGAAAGAGGUGGCCUGGGAAAAUCACAGAGAUGUUCUCCUCUAGAUUUCUAUCUGAAGGUUGGCACCAAGAGAAGCACUUCAAAUUCUCCUUGAACUUCACAUUUCUCCUUACUGGCAGACAGACUAGGGAACACAAAGCCACCCUGACCACCAAACUGCCAGCAUGGAAAUAAAGAUAAGUUUGAGUUCUUUAGUACGUUGCAGUGCUUAAAUGAUGAUAAAUGUUAUGCUAUAAUACAGCAUCUAGUUGAAUGUAAUUGCUUUGACUAAGUCUAGAAAGAAAUUAAUUUACUCCAAACCAAAUUAUUCUGAGGACUUUAGGGUACAAUUUUAAACUAUUGUUGAAUUCAGAUGCUUAAAUAACUAUAGUGCCUCUAUUAGUCUAGAGUGGGAGUAUACUAACAUUUAGCAUACUGAGUGACUCAGUCCUGUAACUGCUUCAUUAAUAGCUUUCACCAAGGCAGCAGGAGUUACCAGGCAUCUUAAACAUAAAGCAUUUGUUUAAGAAACUACUGCAGUUAUACGCAUAGAAAAAAAGUUUCUGCACAACCCAUCCCAAUAUAUUUGCUGGAUACACGAUUUUUUACUAACAGAGUAAAAUGUGUUUCACGAGCUAGUGACAUGCAGAGAAUAAUAUUUCUGGUUGACUGCAGAUUCGGAGAAUUUCAUAGAUAAAUUUCAUAUCAGGCCCAUCACUUAAAACCACCUGCUACAGGUAUCUGCUUCAGACCCACAUCCCUGUGGCAAUGUGUGACCCCACCACAGUAUGGGACCAGUGUUUGGUGGCGGUCAGGUUUUUGUAUACACGAGAAUGACAUCAUGCAAAAGCACCUUCUGUGUGUAGAAACAGGUUUGGGUAUUCUGAAUCAGAAAGUGUGAAAAUAUAUACUAAAGCCUUCAUAAAUAACAAGGGGAACUAAAAAACCCAACCAAAAUCCAACACCUAAAUCCAAAACCACCAUCUCCUUGAGAACAAGUUAUGUAAAAAUCUAAAUGAGUCAGUAUCUUAAGUAGGAAAUUUAAUCCUAUAUAUGCUUCCUUUUUAUAUAUAUUAUAUAUAUGCACACCCACACAUCAUAUAUAAAGAUUAGUCCCCUAAUAGGGGACUAGUAGCAGAUUUGUAGAAAAAAGACUCUAAAGGACUGUGACAAAAUUAAAUUCUUAGUAGUUUCCAAAAAUUACGUGACCUAAUGGGAAAAAACAACCCAAACCAACUUUGAAAUGAGAUGGCAUACACAAAGCUGUCUCUGAAGCAUCAUUUAUGUGAUAAAACACAACUAUAGUAUGGACAAUUAUUUCCUCUGCUCCUGUAAAUGAAUAUCUGAUAGCCUUGAGGGGUUUUCCAGUACAGUUCAUCAAUUCUUAUCAUAUUUAAUUCAGAUACUCUCAAGAGAACUGCAGGGAAAACUGGCAAUAACUCAGCAGAUAAUUCCCCAAAGAAACCUUCAUCUCUCUCUUCUUAAUUGCAUGGCAUAUCAACGCUCGAUGUUUUAAGGAGACUAUCCUGAGCUUUUGGCAAAACCAUCAUUCAGAUGAAUAAACAUAGAAGGCCCAAAGAUCUUAGGGUGUAUUCUGAUUUUUGGAUAGCGAAGAUCUUACUAGCAUGGGAUAACAAGUUAUUGCUAAUCCUGUUCUACCAGGAGCCUGCAACUAGCUGACCCCUCCACAACAGACAGUUGUAGAAGUAUAGUAGGGAGACAUGUCCGCAGGACAUACAACGUUGCUGUCAUGAUUCCCAGAUACUGUCUGCCAUAUUUACUUGCCAAUUAAAGAUUUUAAAUGAUUUAUAGAUUGUAACGAUAUAAAUUAUUAUAAAUCAGAUUGGAAGGGUCUAAUUCUGAUCCCUAUAGCAGGGAAUAUAUCCUGAUACAACAUAUACAUAGAUCAGAAGGAACAAAAAAAUACCCUAAGUCUUCAGGAUUUUUUGUGAACCAGAUAAGCUGAGCUUUUCUUCAGCUCUGACUGCCCUGGUUUCACUCUGCAUUUGCUUCACCUCUAAGGAAGCAGACUGCUUUCUCAUCAUCUCGCAGGAUGUCACGGUGGAGCCUGGCACGGGCACCAAGCGUCAGCGGAUUCUAACAGGGAGCUACAGUAAAUGAAAACCUCCUCACAGCAGUGGCUGCGCAGAGCAGCUGACCGACCUUACACUGAAAUCAAGAGGAUCACAAAGUGAAAUGAAUUCUAGCAAGGUCAAAAAGCGUUAGCAGACUUCAGAGGAGCUCCGGUGCUUCUAGCUGCUAGCAUCCAUUCCUUCAUCCCUGCUCCUUGAUGUGCCCACCACCCCUGGACAGGGUGCUCCUAGCUCUGAGCCUGUUUGAAGUUUCACAAAUACUAACACGGCAAAGGUGAAUAAUAGCGCUGUUGUAUUGGCUGUUUCACUGUACAAAUGAGCUUUGAAAAACAUUUAUAGCUACUCUCUAGCCCCUAGCACCUCCUUCUUCUUCAAUAACUCUCUGAAAUGUAACUGUUUUAAUUAAGGUCUCAGCCUCUGCUUCUUGCUUUCAUCAUGUCUCAGUCUGUUACUUAAAACUAAAUCCUGUUCUUGUUCUACAAAGAUCUAUAGGCCCUAAAGGAAACUCUGUAAUGAUGAACGAAAAGUACUUAAUACGGUAUUUUCAAUUAGAUUAAAACUCCAAAAAUUUUUCCAGAAGCAUCAGUUAACAGUCUGUUACUGUAAAUUAAUCUUUUACACAGACAUGAACUAAAAGCAUGUGUUCUCUGAAGUGGAAGAAGCAUAUUCCUUACAAAUUACAGUUCUACUGACUGUUACACAGGCAGGAUUAAGCACUAUAAUUCAAGGAAUAUAAAUAUUUAGAUUAUUGGAAGAGCCUUAAGGUAGCCUGAACUCUCCCUGUAUUUUGUGAUGAUACAACUCCUUUUCCAGGGAACCAUUCUCCAGCUAAGACACACUGUCACAGCCCGAGGAGGCGUUCACAGGAUAGACUCCGCAUCUUUGCGGUCACUUGGGCAGCACUCACACAGCCACACUUUGUAAGGAUGACAAACGCAUGCAACACACCAGGCACAGACACUGGGGUUCGGUCCCUGUGGGAGAUCAUCCAGCCUGCUGUAACCACAGCCCACGAACACCCUCCCUCCCAUCCGUGAGGAGUUCAUCAAACCUGAAACGUUUCGCAGCAAACAUCUGCUGCAACUGAGGAUUUGCUGACAAAUCUGUUUCCUCAGAAAGUUUCUGCACUAAUCUGGGAGUAUGUCAAGAUCCCAAAUUCCUCCCACUUUCUAUCCGAGCACUUACAAAUGUUCUCAUUACUGUUUCAAAGAGCUAUCCUUUAAUUGCGCUGACUUUCAAAUAUGAAGGUAAAAAAGGCAUGUUGCCACAAAGCUGUCUGGUAGUUUUCACAGAUGCUUCUUGCCUUCUUAUGAGGUAAUAGGCAUAAUGAGCAUGAGCUAGCAUCGUGGUUUGUGGUCCAGGCAAGGAGAUUACACUAUACGUGGGCUUUUUCCUUGGGAUCUGCUUGUCUACUGACUGACAGCCAAAAGAAGCAUAUUAAGGCUUUUUAAGUUCAAAAAAUUGUGUAACAAGCUCUGGAGAUUUCAGAAAGCUAACAACAUUUUUAUUAACCAUCUUUUAUUGCAGGCUAACAUAUUUCCUGAAAGAUUGUUUUUCUGGAUGCACAUUUCCCUUUGCUCUCUUGAUAAGUUGCCACCUCAAGAAAUAAACCAAAGGGAAAAUGAUGCAUAUUUUUUUAAAAUAGAAAAAUAAGGUCAUUAAAGGUUGGAAGGCUACCCUGAAUAUUCAAAUUUCUGCUAUUCAUAUAUAUUUCUCUCCAAUAUUGUAAGGUUACUUGUGGGCAGGAACAGGCAUCCAUUUGAUACCUGAACACUGGAAAACAACUGCACUCCAGCAAGACUUGAUGAAAAUAUAUAGCAGUGCAAUGCCCUUCAACCGCAGGUGAAAGUAGAUCAGAAACCAGCACAGGCUGAGAGAAGUAUUCAGAAAAUACAAAAUAAUCAGCAUGUUGUUGGUGAGGCAGUAAAACAACCCUGUGCGUGGCUCCUGGAAAGAAAAGGGGGAACACAGACAGUGACCUUGUAAGACGGGUGCGUUUUAAAGCAACACCAACUGUCUAACAGGGUUGUCUUUGUUGAUACAUUUGCUUCAGGCUACAUUCGGAUAUAAUUGAGAUUCAUCUAGCGAGCGGGGAGGGCUCCACUCUGCUGAAGAGUUUUGAUUUUUAGGGAGGAUGCUGUGACCGAAUAGCUCGUGGUCAGGUGUAACCAACCUGCGAUAUCCAAGAAAGUGAGUUAGGGCUGUGGAUUAACUGGGUCCAUCGCACGUCAUCUCUGAAACCAGAUUAUUCAAACCUCAAAAAAGUCUUAUUAAACCCUGGAUUUUCUUAUAGGCAAACAGUGAUCUUGUGCUAAAACCUGUCAGUUCACAUGGACUAGCUUUGGGCCUUAGAAAGUUGGGACAGGACCAGCCAGAAAGCAUUGCACAUCGGUUUUUUACUGACACUCGGGACUCAGGCUGGGGAGUAACGAUUUUGAAACCUACUACAACUGGGACUUGUGGAGAUGAGCAGGCAGGUAACCAUUGCUCCUUUCCACUACCCUGUCCUCAUUUCAACCUCAGCAGCUGGCAAUCCAAUUAAUUCUCAUUUUUCUCAGAGAAGAGGAAACUUUUUGGAGCUGGGGAUGGUGUUGAACUAUUUUGUGUCAGUCUCCGAACAUCACUUCUACCAAAAAGAGUGAGAAGUACAUGAACUUAAUGGAUGAAUAGACUCCAUAGUCGUGAUGAUGCAUUUUCUUUGAUACCUGGGUAAGUGACCCAGUCCUGGCUGCAUUUUAAUUUUUAAUGUGCUAGCUAUAUUAAAAUCCUAAAUAGACUCCUGUAAAUCUAUUUAGAAGCAUAAUGAAACAAAAUUCAAGUUUGAAUAGGGAAUGCAUUGAUUUUCUAUGUCAGAAAUGAAGCAAUUUAGUGUUUCUUUUACUCAAGGUGCUACUGUUCUGUGCCAGCACUAAUUAAAUUCUAUAUGUGUUCUGAGCACAGAAAUUAUGUUGUCUCAUAGUAAAGUAACUAUAUCAAAUUGAGGGGUAGAGACAUUAAUGGCCUGAUCAGUUGAAUUAACAUAAACCAGCAGUCCUUGUCAUUGCACAAGUACAUUUUUCAUUAGAAUUGACUUUUCUUGAUUUCUUGUAAAAGUAGGCUACUAAACAGAGGGGAGAGGAGGAGUUGUUAAGUAUUUUGCCAUUCUAGGUCAUAGAAUAAGGGACUGCAGAAAAACUGAAAAUUGUUUGGACGUUUAAUGGACAAAAUGACCCUCACAGACCCUCUCCAAAUUUUCACAUGUGUAGCUUUGCAAUUAUUUACCAGACUAUCACCUCAUCUGCAAAAUGUUCCUGUAUCACUCUGCAGGUAUCUUUGGGUGGGACAAGUAGCUGGAUGCAGUGGCUGGAUGCUUACCUAAGCCCGUAACAGCCAAGGGGUUGUCUCCCAACCAAAACCUUCAUGGCUUCCAGCCAUACAAGCCAAGGAAACAGCACUCUUCAACUGCUAAAGCAAAGCUGGGAUAAGACUUGGAUCAAAGGCUUUGAAGAAGCACCAAGGACCACCUAGAUAGCAGAAGGUCCUGUUGGAAGGACAGCGGAGACACUUCUUCCCUUUCCAUAGGCAGUGGUCGGGUCACCCCACUGCUCAGGGAGACCAGCAGCUCUGCCCAGUACAAUCCUUAGGCUUGCAUUUCAGUGGCAGAGCUUUUCCAAGUUCGUUAAGCUGUACUUGUUUUCCUUUGCACAUGCAACCGAUUGCAUGUAGUCCUGCAAAACUAAAGUGGUUUCUCCUCCAAGAAAGGUGCAGACAUUCUAAAGCUCUUUCCAACCAUGCUACCGGAGGUAAGGACCACUGCAUUAUUAACAUUCACAACAGCAACGCCAGCUGCAUAGGAAGUCUAUAUUGCAAGGUAUCAAGUAAGUGUUCAUAUUCAAGAAUUCGAUUUCAUUGAAUUCAUCAAUUUGAAGAACAUUUGCAUUUAUUAGAAUCUCCCAGUUGAUACCCUUUAAAUUAAAAAAAAAAAUCAGUAUGUAGGGUGAUUUGCCAAAAAGAAAGUGUUGGAUUUAAACAAAAUUAUUUCAAGACUAUCUAUUAUUUUACUUAAUGUAUUAAAAAAAAAAAAUCCUGAGAAGGAAAGGAAUUAGAAUUUGGAUUCAUUACUUCUCUUCCUGAUUGAAGGUAAGAAAAAUAAUGAAAAGUGAGAAUUUUUCACAUCACAAAACAAAAGUAUCCCACUUGGAUUUAUUUAUAGCCUGUACUAAUUCCCUCGAAGUGUGAUCAAAAAUAUACGAUCAUUUUCAAUUCAUUAGGAAUUAGUUUGUAGGUAAGAAACAUUCUUGUCUCACCUUAGGCUAAAUCUCUUCUUGGUGAGUGAAACCCGUAUGGCCCCUCUUUGCCUUUCGUCAACUGACGCCAAAAGGCCAAAGUGAGAUAGGAAGGAGCCAGGGAGUGAAACCAUGCCCUUGGGGCGAACACCUUGCUGGUGCUGGUGUCCUCAUUGAGUUGAGAUACACAUAAUAUACAGAAGUAACCAGGAGAAAUGUGGUUUCAGAGCAUGCCUUCUGUCUAUCCUGCAAAGUGAUUUUGUAUAAAAUUAAGGAAACGUACAUGCAAAUGCAGUUUUCAUCCCCUUCCCAUCAGGUGAGCCCACUUCAUCCCUGCUAUAAAGUAGAUGCUGUGGCUGUAACUUCUGAUGAGUCUGACUUGCCUUGCCAGGGAUCCCAGGCAAUGGUGGGGCAGCCACGGGCUGCCAGGAGUCCAAGACUGUCCUCUCAGGGGCACAGCACAAGGUGGGCAGACCUAGGCCAGGCAACAAAAUAUAUUCUGACUCUUCAAAACCUUCCAAAAAUAUUUUUUCGGCUCUUGCUUUCAGUGGGAAAUCGAGGUUAGCUAACAAACGUGAACCAACAUUCUUUGUUUCAAAGACCAAGUCUACUUUAACAAUUCACUUUGGACCACUUGAACCUGUGCCUCAGUUUACCCAUAUGUAAAACUCAAGGCAUAUCUAACUUGCAGGGCUCUGCCGACUCUUAAAAUUAAUGUACUGCUUUAAUGUGUUCCUUGAUCAAAAUUAACUCUAGAUGUGCAUGUGGCAACAGCUCAUUAGGAAAUCUGGCUGAGAUUUAUGGGAAGAGGCAAGCCCAGUGCUUUGGGCUGGCAUGCGGACGGAGCUAAUGUCACACAGCUGAGGCUAACCAGACAGAUGGGCUCUGCCAGCAGCAAUGUGUCUGAGCUGUCAGACAUCCUGAACUUUCCAGCCACCUACACAACACAGAGCCACACAUGUGAACACCCGGAGAAAUUAAUAUGGAUAUUAGACUUCACCAUUCAUUACCCUGUCAUCGUUUUAAAGCCCAGUUUUGAGGUGAUAGGACACAUCACAGCUUUUUAAUUACCACUUCCCCCAGCUACUGCAAUCAUAGACCCAUAAAGGAAGCCCAGCACAAAUUGUUUUUUUCUAAUAAAUAUCAGUCAGGGAUAAAUAAUGGACCAGAGCUCUUUCACCUUUUUAUUAAUCUAUGAUAUUUGCUGUAAAAGUCUUGAUGAAAGGAGCUCUGCCCUUACAAGCAAUGAGGUGCAAAGGAAUACAGCAAGUUCUUUGGAUCUGCUGGGAUUAAAACUUGCCGCAGUGGCUGAUAGGGUAUCAUAAUUCCUAAGUGGGGAGAUGCGAGAUAUGGAAAGUGCCCCACUGCCAGCCUCUGCAGUAUCCACGAACAUUUUAUUAAUUAAUUAAUUAAUUUUAAUUUUUGCAAGGUUUACUUCAAAUCCUGAAAGGUAGGAAUUGGGUUGUGCAUUAGGCUUGGGCGGGGAGGAGGGGAACAUGGUUGUAACUCCAGCCCGUGGUACUGGACUUUGAGAGUGGGGCAGCCAUUGCACAUCAGCACAUCUGCACGUAGGGCAGGUUAAACAUCAACCAUGUCAUAUUAGAGGACAUUUUACUUAAAAAGAAAAAAAAAACGGUUAUUUGCUCAGCUAGUGUUAGUCUGAACAAAUGGAUGAUUUACCUCCUGACCAACAUUGAAAUCCAGACAUGCAGUAAGCGGUGGCAUCUGUGGGAACAGAAGACGGGCCGUAGGUAACAGGGCUGCAAAACGCUUUAUGCUCAUCUGUGAGGCAGUUAAUGAGCUCCUCUCUUAGAACAGGGGAUUUCCAGGUUUUGGUAUGUGCCAGCUUUAUCAUCUUUAUAUUUAAAGUCCUUAUACACUUUGCCAUGCUGUCUUUGUCACCCACAGCCUUGUCUCGCAGC